rnacentral:rRNA from 1 species
UAAUUCUUUGAUUUGGGCUCUUCCGAUCAUUGUGAAGCAGAAUUCACCAAGUGUUGGACUGUUCACCCACCAAUAAGGAACGUGAGCUAGGUUUAGACCGUCCUGAGAUAGGUUAGAUUUUCCCUACUAUGACAGUGUCGUAGUAGUAAUUCAACCUAGUAUGAGAGGAAACGUUGAUUCACACAAUUUGUUAUCGUGCUUGGUCGAAAAGCCAGUUGCAGAAAGCUACCGUGAGCUGGAUUAUGACUGAACGUCUCUAAGUUAGAAUCUAGGCUAAAAGCGACGUAUGAGCCCGCUGUCCACUUACCGACCCAUAGUAGGGGCCUUAGCCCCCAAGGGCACAUGUCGUUUUCUAAGCCAUCGCGGUGGAAGAGUUGGGUAGAAUCCUUUGCAGAUGACUUAAAUAUGCGAUGGGGUAUUGUAAGUGGAAGAGUGGCCUUGCUGCUACGAUCCACUGAGAUUGUACAUCCAAUCCAAUCCAAUCAAAAAAGUAUUUGGUGCCAUGGAGGGAGAGUCUGGUGCAAGUAGCCACGGUAAUUCCAUCACCAAAAGAGUAUAUUUAAGUUGUUGUAGUUAAAAAUCUCAAAGUUGGACUUUGGGAUUUGCCAGCCGGCCUACCUAUGGUGUGAAUUAGUCAUCUCGUCCCUUCUGUCAGUGAUGCACUACUGGCCUUAGCUGGCCGAGUCAAGACUCCGGUGCUGUUACUUUGAAGAAAUUAGAGUGCUUCAAGCAAGCCUACGCUCUAUAUACAUUAGCAUGGGAUAAAAUUAUAGGAUUUUGGUCCUAUUACGUUGGCCUUCGGUUUCGAAAUAAUGAUUAACUGGGACAGUCGGGGGCAUUCGUAUUUCAUAGUUAUAGUUAAAAUUAUUGGAUUUAUCAAAUACGAACAACUGCGAAAGAAUUUUCCGAGGAUGUUUUCAUUAAUCAAGAACUAAAAAUUGGGGGCUCGAAGGCGAUCAGAUACCAUCCUAGUCUCAAUCAUAAAUGAUGCCGACCAGGGAUCAACGGAUAUUGCUUUUAGGACUCUACAGGCACCUUAUGAGAAAUCAAAGUUUUUGGGUUCUUGGGGGAGUAUGGUCGCAAAGCUGAAACUUAAAGGAAUUGACGGAAGGGAACCACCAGGAGUGGAGCCUGCGGCUUAAUUUGACUCAACAUGGGGAAACUUUCCAGGUCUAGACAUAGUAAGGAUUGACAGACUGAGAGCUCUUUCUUAAUUCUAUGGGUGGUGGUGCAUGGCCGUUCUUAGUUGGUGGAGCAAUUUUUCUGGUUAAUUCCGUUAACGAAUGAGACCUUAGCCUACUAUGUAGCUAUGCAGAGGUAUCCCUUCGCGGCCAUCUUCUUAGAGGGACUACGACCAUUUAGACCAUAAAAGUUUGAGGGAAUAACAGGUCUGUGAUGUCCUUAGAUAUUCUGCUCCACACGCGUGCUACACUAAUGUAUUCAACGAGUUUAUAGCCUCGGCCAAAAGGCCCGGCUAAUCUUUCAAAUUUCAUCAUCAUGGGGAUAGAUCAUUGCAAUUGUUGGUCUUCAACGAGGAAUUCCUAGUAAGCGCGGUCAUCAGCUCGCGUUGACUACGUCCCUGCCCUUUGUAAGCCCAUCCGGGAACAACCCAGCCUUAGAAUCGGGCGGCUCCAUCGUGCGAAUUUGGUUUAAGGUUAUUUCAUUCUAAUAUUUAUAUUUUGGGGUUGUUACUUAUCUGUUUCAUUCUAGG